GAAUAUUGGACAAUGGGCGAAAGCCUGAUCCAGCAAUGCCGCGUGAGUGAUGAAGGCCUUAGGGUUGUAAAGCUCUUUUACCAGGGAUGAUAAUGACAGUACCUGGAGAAUAAGCUCCGGCUAACUCCGUGCCAGCAGCCGCGGUAAUACGGAGGGAGCUAACGUUGUUCGGAAUUACUGGGCGUAAAGAGUAUGUAGGCGGCUAUUUAAGUCAGGGGUGAAAGCCUGGAGCUCAACUCCAGAACUGCCUUUGAAACUAGAUAGCUAGAAUCAUGGAGAGGUUAGUGGAAUUCCGAGUGUAGAGGUGAAAUUCGUAGAUAUUCGGAAGAACACCAGUGGCGAAGGCGACUAACUGGCCAUGUAUUGACGCUGAGAUACGAAAGCGUGGGGAGCAAACAGG
rnacentral:rRNA from 1 species